rnacentral:lncRNA from 1 species
AAUUGAUAAGGUAUUGUACGCGUUGAGCCAGCUGAGUUGAUUGCUGACUUGUUGAUGGUCCACGCAUUGGCAAGUGGUCUUGCGAGUUACACUCCACGCACAAAUCAACACACGUUCGCCGGUUUCAAAAGUUUGGAAAGUGAAAAUCCUUUCGCUGUAUGGGUGAAUGUGUGCAGCAGCAAACAGCAAGCAGGGAGCGGCAGUGGCCGGCACUGAAUCGGGUCAUACGAGGACGCAAGCGCGAUUGAGCACAAAAUGGCAUAGAAUAAGAAGAUCAAGUAAUGAAUGAAAGUGUUCUAAAAAUGUAAAGAAUGAAAAUUAAUUUAGAAUUGAAAUUGAACUUUGAAUUUUGAAGCAAAUUUUGUUGCCGUCUGACAAAAUAAGCUCAAAUAUUUUAGGUAUCCCCUAUUGACAAAACUAAUCGAUUGGUUUUGAAUUUUGAUUGUGCUUGUUAAACACAAAGUAUUUAUAUAACUAAUAUUUAGUGAGCUCUUGCGUAAUUGCAUUAUAUGUACAUGGUUUUCUCCUUCGUAGAUAUCGCCACACCUAAAAAUUAGUCCUGUCUCCGCCACUGGUAGUAAUUAACACGGUUUCAGUACUGGUUUCAACAGCCACAUAGUCCAACACGUUUUUCUUUGUUGGUGUCCAAUCCACACGAUGAUGUACAUCUGAGAUUGAGUAUCCAGAGCGCCUCAAAUGGGUCUUAUUGGCAUUUGGUGACAGAUCCUACUAAACAAGCACAAGAUAAUGACCAUUUUCAUAUAAACGGUGGCAACCCACUUAACAUUUAUAGAUGCGACCAAUUAGUCUAUGCUUAUUUUUCUCGGGCAAUGCAUAUUUACAUUUUUUUUGCGAGAAUUGCAUAUUUGCAUUACGUCACGCUAGGAUAUCGAGCGGGUGAUGGACAGUGGUGGUGGUUCAUUCGGGUGAAAUGUUUCUGAUGGUUAUAUUUAGUUUGUUUGUGAUGUCGAGCGACUGUCUUGCUUGUAGUGAGGCACAGUCUAGCCUCGUGUCAAGUAGCGCCCGGAAUGGGCAAGCAAAUUAGGGACCGCAAGCAUUGAGCAUUUUUUGCUUUUUUUCAUAGUUUUGCUUUAAUUUUACCUUUGCUUAUAAUUCUAAAUAUAUCUAUUAUGAAAAUCAAUUUACAUACAUAAUUGAAAAAUGUUAGUCAUGCAUUUAAAAAUGUUAACAUGUAUAGAAAAAUAUUUCUAAUGUAUACAAAAAAUGUACAAUGUCCGCGGAAAAAAAAUAGACAUCAAAACAUACAUAUGAGGAAAAGGAUAAUCAUGUAUUUAAAAAAAUCAGGUCUGCAUACAAAUAUAUUUCAGGCGAAUACAAAAGGUACAAUGUGUAUACAAAGAAGUAGAUAUCAAAACAUAUAUAUGAGUGUGUUACCUGUAAUAAGUUUUUUUGGCAGCUACUUUAGGAUAUGGCCAAGAGUUGUGAAUCAUCCUUGAUGUGGACUUUCGCCUUGUCUUUUCUAAUAAAAAUGUCGGAAGCGGGGCCCUUUGAUUAAAAAAUAUAGAUAUGAAAAAAAUACCGUGCGUGUGAUUUUCCUAAAGAUGGAGGGGGGUUUCGUAAAAACACCGGGCCGAGCGGUUGUGCCACAACGCGGCCAGCGUGGCGCCAUUUGUCAAUUUUUGAUUGGCUUUGGACUAAAUCUUCACAUACAUUGCAAGUUUAGAGAUGUGGUGAUCACCUUUUGCAAGUUUGUGGACUAAAUCAUCACAUCCAUUGCAAGUUUGUGGGUCUAUAGUGCUCUUCCCUCUUAAUUAUUAGGGAAAUUAGUAAAUCCACUUUAUAACCACCGGACGAAAAGCGAACGAUGCGGAGCAGGCAUGGGAGCAGAGGCAUGGAAGAGAGCUCAGCCGCCCUUGGGGAUUGGUACUGCUGGCCCCAGUUGUCUGUGAGCGAGGCAGAAGCUUCUGGAGGAAGGCAAAUAUCCCCACGGGCCAUCUCACCCGCUAUGCUCCAAACAAAACACUCGCUUUAGCCUCCUCCCACCCCCCUGCAAUUCCACAGACACACACGCCUCGGCCUCUACGCCGGGCAUGGCGACUCCUGUCGCCGCCGCCGCCGCCGCCGCCCUCCUGUUCAUGGCAUCCUUUCUCCCUUCAGUCGGAUCCACGCCCAUAUUCAUCUCUAGCAACGCCACUUUUACCAUCUACAACCAGACCGCAUUCCCCAGGAUACCUACAGGCGUCGGUUUGGCUCACGUCGGGGCAACGCGGACCUUUCUCCUUGAUCCGGAGGCAGAGGUAAAGAACUCGCUUCUUACCAUGGGGAGGUCUAAGCGGGAGCCAAUCUCGAGACCGUGGCUUCUCUGGGAUGGCACUCCAGUCGCUGCGCCGACCAAGCCUAGAUCCUCUACGCGACCACGCGCAUCACACCGCCCCAAGCAUCGGCCAGUCAUCGUACCGAAGAAGGCGGCUUCUGCCACUUCGGCUACCCCUCGCGGCCCCGCACCUUGUCCGUCUCCGGUACUGCCACCCCAACAGGGAGACUCGACGCCACGCUCGCCAAGUGCGCCGCACAACGGCCCUUCUCCUUCAGAUUCCUGCGACGGGCCUUUGGCCGCGCCUGCCUCCGCUCCCACUGUCGUCCACGAUCCAGCCCCCGCACCGGCUCCAGCGCCCGCUCCCGCACCGGCUCCCGCACCAGCGCCGGCACCGGCUCCCGCACCAGCUCCCGUGACUGGUCGAAGAUUCGGCCCUAAGUCGAUUUUGAAGUUUCUGAUUAAGGCAACUGGGACGGCCUGCAAAACAUGGGAGAAGAAGAAAUCCAAGUCAAAACAGAAGAAGAGGGAGCAGAUACUGAUGGAUAAGUAUCAAAGGCUUCGCCGAAGGGUCAAGAAGAUUGAGAGGGCAUCAAAGAAGAAGAAAUCCCACGCUCCUUUGGUGAUUCAGCGAUACUGCUGUACACCCGCUGAGGACGACGAGAACAAGCUCAGUCCGCCGACUUGAUAUGUUUGGUAUAUGCCUUCUUUGUUUUGUUUUCUCAAUUUCUUUUACUUGUUUGUUAGUUGCAUGGCAAAUGAGUGGAUUUUGUUGACUGUCUAUUCUUAUCACAUAGUAGUAGGUGUUUGUUCUGGUCCUCUGUCAUAACAAUGUUUUACAUGCAGUAAUUAUGUGAGUUAAAGCAUGUACUAAGUUGUGCAAAAGCUAUUGCUGGUAGUUUGCUGUUCUAUUAAUUACUGCAAAUAGUGAUAAGUAAUUCUGUGAGUUAAGCAUGUGCUUACGUUGUGCAACAGAAUAUUGGUUGUAGUUUGCUGCUCGUUCAAAUAGUGAUAUUUGCAAUUCAAAUUGAAGUUAAUACUUGCAAAACUGCAACAGCCCUAAUCAUGUACACACUGCUUAUAGUGCUUACUUUCCACUCCGGAGUAACUACUUUUGAAACUCACCAUCUGGUUAUUGGAGCACAACCAAUUAAAGUUCAGAAUAUUUGACGAGGGACAAUAAUAUUUAGUUUGUUUGCCCUGUGUUUUGGCCCCAUUUAUAGCAAUCAGUCACAAAUCUAGCAUGUACUAGGGUCUUGUAAUGCACAUAGUAUAUUAUCGUGUGCAAAACAAUAUGUUUGUAGUUUUGCAUGGUUUGUUAUGCAUGCCGUGGGGGAUAGUUAUAUGCAGAAUUGCAGAUUGUAAUAAGGAACAGAGUUAAUCUAAUACUCCCUCCGUUCCAAAAUAGAUGGCUCCAAUUGAACGGAGGGAGUAGGUAACAACUCCAAUGGCGAAAAUCCACUGCUUAUUGGUAUCUUUAUGACAUGCCGUAAUUAUGAUUCUGCACUUAGAAGAUAGUUAUCUUGGUGUGCAUUUACUUUAGAAAUUGGAAUACCUUGGAUAUCAAAUUGCACGACUAUGACUCAAAUAGUAUAAAGUUGGGUCAUCUAUUUUGGAACGGAGGGAGUAGGUAACAACCCCAAUGGCGAAAAUCCACUGCUUAUUGGCAUCUUUAUGACAUGCCGUAAUUAUGAUUCUGCACUUAGAAGAUAGUUAUCUUGGUGUGCAUUUACUUUAGAAAUUGGAAUACCUUGGAUAUCAAAUUGCACGACUAUGGCCUCGUGCUCUCUUUGUAAUUUGUCUGUUGUUGUAUCUAUUGCAUCCAAUAUUACUAAGAUUUCCUUGUCAUCAUACUAAUUACGAAACAUGUUCCUGGCCUUUCUGUGUAGAUCAUGUUUGAAAUUCUCUUGCACAUGUGGAAACAAUUGCUGCGUUCAGGAUUGAAGGGCCAGGGUGUGACGACGGUCACAUGUUGGGAUUUUGCUGUUGCUGCUGCAGUUUUGUUGGAAAAUUUUGGAGUGAUGUAUUACUUUUCGAUUUGGUACCCAUGAGAAUAUCAAUUAGGUUGCAAUGAACUUUUCAUGAACUGUUGUCAGAGUGAAUUUGUUUGUUGCUACAUUGCGUUUUGAGAUGGAAGGGUGAUGCUAAUGACCAUGCUGGUUUUACUUGUUUUCCAUCAGAUUAAUUGUUUUUGGUGAUAACUACUAAUUCUGGUCCUUUUGCCUGCAUAGUUCUGUUGAUAGAGAGCUAAGUAGAUACAUUGCUGCCAUGGUCUAUGAUGUUCAUAUUUACCCAUCGAGAUGGAUUCAAUAU